AAUUUUGGGGGUUCACCAUACUUAGAGAACUGAAACUCAAAAAAUUUUUUUUCAUCAAACCCAUACGUGUGGGGUAUCUUAGGGAUAGGUCUUCAAAAAUGAUAUUGAGGUUUCUAAUAUCAUUUUUUUCUAAACUGAAUAGUUUGCGCGAGAGACACUUCCAAAGUG